rnacentral:rRNA from 1 species
CUUGCUUUCUUUGCUGGCGACCGGCGCACGGGUGAGUAACACGUAUCCAACCUGCCCUUUACUCGGGGAUAGCCUUUCGAAAGAAAGAUUAAUACCCGAUAGUAUAAUGAUUCCGCAUGGUUUCAUUAUUAAAGGAUUCCGGUAAAGGAUGGGGAUACGUUCCAUUAGGUUGUUGGUGAGGUAACGGCUCACCAAGCCUUCGAUGGAUAGGGGUUCUGAGAGGAAGGUCCCCCACAUUGGAACUGAGACACGGUCCAA